rnacentral:rRNA from 1 species
UACGUAGGGUGCAAGCGUUAAUCGGAAUUACUGGGCGUAAAGCGUGCGCAGGCGGUUGUGCAAGACCGAUGUGAAAUCCCCCGGGCUUAACCUGGGAAUGGCAUUGGUGACUGCACGGCUAGAGUGUGUCAGAGGGGGGUAGAAUUCCACGUGUAGCAGUGAAAUGCGUAGAGAUGUGGAGGAAUACCGAUGGCGAAGGCAGCCCCCUGGGAUAACACUGACGCUCAUGCACGAAAGCGUGGGGGAGCAAAACAGG